ensembl:lncRNA
CAACCUCAUGGCCUUGGAAGCUUCUUAGAUCCUCCAUCUAAUCCAAGAGUGGAAAAACGAGAGGUCACACAGGUGUGCAUUGCAUAAUCAUUUCAGCACUGUCAAUUGAUUUCUAAAAGCCGCCCCUUGUAAUUUAGACUGCUAAAAAUGGACACAAGGAGGCUUUACACAAGAACUUGGUCUAAAUGGUUUGAUGCUGUACAAACAGUGAAAGUUGCUGUACAGGUCAUGACAGUAGCUGCUUUUCUGAAGGCGUCUUUGUAAUCAACCGUUUCAAAUGUGCACUCAUUGCUUCAAUGGACUUUCUGGCACUGGUUGUUACUCAAAGGCCAGUCCUAUCAUCAUCUAGGAGGCAACAUCAUUUUUUAGAGGGGCAUCAACAAACAUGAUGUAACUUCCUUGGCAGUCUAUGGGACAGUCACAGGGCUCCCGGUUUUCAUCCAAAAUAUCUUAAAUUGUGUUCCGAAGAAGAACAAAGCUUUUACGGUUUGGAACGACAUGGGGGUAAGUGAAUAAUGACAAAAUUUUCAUUUUGGGGUGGAGUAUCCAUUUAAUAGUGCAUUUAAAACUUAAAAUAUAAUAAUAUAAAUAUAGAAAUG